rfam:Lactobacillus crispatus JV-V01 contig00034, whole genome shotgun sequence.
AGCCUGGUCGAAAAAGGUUAGUCGCAAGAAGUCAGCUGAGGUCAUAGUAGUGUUGAAAGUCUUGUAAUGAGACUGGAGCGAAGGAC